AAACGGAGAGACGCGCCAAUAUCUGAACCCCAAUUCCUUUUGAGCUGCAAACCUCCCUAAACAUGUGUCUCGCUCAUCACUUACCUCUCAUUUCGCCCUCUCUUUCUCUCACACUCAUUCACAUCACGCGAACAUUGGUCCGCUUCUUGAUCUGUAUUUUCUUCAUGGAUCAAUUUGCAUGAUCCAAUUCACUCAAAUCGAGAAACACAAAAUUGAAAAUUCAAUAUUAACCCUUAUGAAAUCAUACAAUGGUCUUGUUCUGUGAGGUCUUUCAUAUGGGUUGCGAUGAUUUAUGAGUUUUGAGUUUUAUAUGAUUCUUUUUCUUCCCCAUUUUCUUGCUUGGUUGAGGGCCAAUCUUGAGAAGAUUGAAUAAAAGGAAGAAAACGAAGGUUGAUGAGAGGCCAAAGGAGAAAAAAACAUAUGCAUCUAUGAAGACUUGGGCACGGAAGUCGCUGCCGCACCACCUGAUGCAGUUGUUGUCGGUUGAGCUUCUUCUUCUGCAAAUUUUUCAGAUGGAAUGGCAGAUCCUGUUAGUUAUGGGAAUUCUGAGCGGGACAUCGAACAAGCACUUAUUACUUUGAAAAAAGGCACUCAGUUAAUCAAAUAUAGCCGGAAAGGAAAACCCAAGUUUCGUGCAUUCAGACUUUCUCCAUGAUUUUAACAGGAUGAAACGACAUUGAUCUGGUUAUCACAUGGAGAAGAAAAGAAUCUGAAAUUAUCUUCUGUCUCGCGGAUCAUUCCAGGACAGAGAACUGCUGUGUUUAGAAGAUACUUGCGCCCUGAAAAGGAUUACUUGUCAUUUUCACUUCUAUAUAACAACGGUGAAAGAUCUCUUGAUCUGAUCUGCAAGGAUAAAGUUGAGGCGGAGGUGUGGCUUGCGGCCCUUAAGGCGUUGAUAGGAAGGAAUCAUGGUAGACGUACAAGGAGUGAUAUUUCUGAUCUAACUGAAGGUGGGGAUUUUUUUCAAAAUGGCCGUCCUUUUGGUGCAACUCUAGAGUUUUCUUCAAGCAUUGCUGGGAGAGUGUCUAUUGAUUUAGGUUCUCGUGAUACCUCUUGGAAUUCAGCAAGCUCAGAUGUGGGGUCAGAACGUGCAAAUAUGCAACUAAGAACAAGUGGUGGAGAUGGUUUCCGGAUUAGUGUUUCAAGCACUCCAAGCUGUUCAAGUGGUGGAUCAGGUCCAGAUGACAUAGAACAGUUGGGUGAUGUUUAUGUAUGGGGAGAAGUUUGGAGUGAUGGAGUUUCGCCUGAUGGGUCCACAAGCUCAGUUCCUAUAAAGAUUGAUGUUUUGAUUCCUAAGCCCUUAGAAUCGAAUGUAGUUCUUGAUGUUCAUCAGAUUGCUUGUGGUAUGCAUCAUGUUGUUCUUGUAACAAAGCAAGGAGAGGUUUUUACCUGGGGAGAGGAAUCUGGGGGGAGACUUGGUCAUGGAAUGGAAAUGGACUUCAGUUGUCCUCGACUUGUUGAGUUUCUGGCAGUUACUAAUGUUGACUUUGUUGCUUGCGGUGAGUAUCAUACCUGUGCUGUGUCUUCAUCCGGUGACUUAUUUACCUGGGGUGAUGGUACACAUAAUGCUGGACUUCUUGGUCAAGGUACUGAUGUUAGCCACUGGAUACCAAAACGGGUUUCUGGCCCUUUAGAAGGACUUCAGGUUUUAUCUAUUGCAUGUGGCACAUGGCAUUCAGCUUUGGCAACUACAAAUGGAAAACUGUUUACAUUUGGAGAUGGAACAUUUGGUGUUUUGGGCCAUGGAGAUAGAGAAAGCGUGUCAUUUCCAAAAGAAGUUCAGUCAUUGAAUGGACUAAGGACUAUAAAGGUUGCAUGUGGCGUCUGGCAUACUGCUGCUAUAGUAGAGGUUAUGGGCCAGUCUGGAACGACUGUUUCAUCUAGAAAGUUGUUCACCUGGGGUGAUGGUGACAAAAACCGUUUAGGCCAUGGAAAUAAGGAAACCUAUCUGCUUCCUACUUGUGUCUCUUCCCUUAUUGACUACAACUUCCACCAGAUAGCAUGUGGACAUACAAUGACUGUUGCCCUCACAACCUCAGGUCAUUUGUUUGCAAUGGGUGGAACUGCAUAUGGUCAGCUAGGCAACGCCAACUCGGAUGGAAAAAUGCCCAGCUUAGUGCAAGAUAAUUUGGUAGGUGAAUUUGUUGAAGAAGUUUCUUGUGGGGCAUACCACGUUGCUGUCCUGACAUCAAGAAGUGAAGUGUACACUUGGGGCAGAGGUGCCAAUGGACAACUGGGACAUGGGGACACAGAAGAUAGGAGAACCCCAACAUUAGUUGAAUCACUGAGAGAUAGGCAUGUUAAAAAUAUAUCAUGUGGCUCAAAUUUUACUUCUAGUAUAUGCAUCCACAAGUGGGUCUCUGGAGCAGACCAAUCAGUUUGCUCUGGUUGCCGGCAAGCAUUUGGUUUUACUAGAAAGAGGCAUAACUGUUAUAAUUGUGGGCUAGUUCAUUGUCACGCUUGCAGCUCCAAAAAAGCAUUGAAAGCAGCAUUAGCUCCAACUCCUGGCAAACCACAUCGAGUCUGUGAUGCUUGCUAUGCAAAACUUAAAACUGCUGAUGCUGGUAAUUCUAAUACGAACAGGAAAAGUACCACCCCACGUCGCUCAGUGGACAUCAGAGAAAAAAUGGACAGGGGAGAGGCCAGGACUUCAAGAAUUUUACUGUCUCCUACUACAGAACCUAUAAAAUACCUUGAGAUCAAAUCAGUGAAGCCUGGAACUAAAUCUGAGGUUCCUUCAAUUGUUAGAGCUUCCCAAGUUCCAUCACUUUUACAACUAAAAGAUGUUGCAUUUCCAAGUUCACUAAGUGCUCUUCACAGUGCAUGGAAGCCUCCUCCUUCAACAGUAUCUCAGCCUGCUCUGAACUUAACUCAGCCUAGUGCCAACUCAAGACCUGCUUCACCAUACUCAAGGAGACCAAGCCCUCCACGUACUGGCACUCCUGGAUUUUCUAGAAGUGUCAUUGAUAGCCUGAAAAAGACCAAUGACAUUUUGAAGCAAGACAUGACUAAAAUGCAAAACCAGAUUAAAAUUUUCAAGCAAAAGUGUAAUGCUCAAGAUAUAGAGAUUCAAAAACUACAGAAAAAAGCUAAAGAAACUGCUUUAUUGGCUACAGCAGAAACAACCAAGUCUAGAGUAGCCAAGGAACUCGUUAAGUCUAUCACAGAACAGCUAAAAGAAAUGACAGUGCAAUUGCCUCCUGAUGUUCAAGAAAGUGAAACCUUUCAGGCUAUGAAUGCUAAAAUAUAAAAAUUUCACAUAAAGACCAGAGGAUUGAAGAACAAGCAUGAACUACAUGAGCUACUGAUGCAAAUGUUGGUUGGGACAGUAGCAGAUCAUCUGUUUCUAGUAAUCAAGAUUAUCACCCCACAAGAAAUAAUAUAAUAUUUUUGUGGUUUUGAGAAGAGAAUACGAAUCAGUAGAAAAUGGUUGGUAAUAUUUUCUGUUCUUGUGCCAUUUUGGGGAAGGUUCAUGAACCAAGAUUAGAGGAAGGAAAUUUGGAGUAAAAGAAGUUGAAAAUUACAGAAAUUGUAAGCAUUUUCGGGUUUAACGAAGGAAAAUGGCAGGAAAACUGAUGCCCAAUCUUGAACCUCUUACAAAGAAAUUUUAUAGAAAAAUUGCCCAUGUCAGGUAAAUUCCCAGACAGGUACAUGAGAAUAAAUAUUUCUGUGUUUCCGCAUUAAAACAGAUUGUUCUGGUGAUGUUUGUAUUCAUAUUUCAACGACAUGUCGUUUUCAAACAAUCAAGCUCUAGGCCCUUUAAUGGGAUCAUAAUAAGAGAUCAACGAUGCAUUACCCAAUCAAACAGUAAUUUCUCAUAGAUUAUUCAAAUUUCUAGUUUGCAUAUGCUAUCAAAUUGCAAAACUAUAAGAUUUCAAAAAAACACCCCUUUAAUUUAUACCCUUAACAACUAUACCAUAAGAAAAUAAAGUGCAGCUAGCCCAUAGCAUAUUUCUGUGUCCAGGAUCGAGCAGUAGUCUCAUACUUGGCUUUAUCAGUCUUAUAGACAUGAGCAAUCUCAGGCACCAAAGGAUCAUCAGGGUUUGGAUCUGUCAGCAGUGAACAUAUCGACAAUAACACCUUUGAAACUGUAAGUGCAGGACUCCAUUGUUCCUUGAGAAUGUCAAGGCAGAUACUGCCAUUACUAUUGAUGUUCGGGUGAUAAACUUUUGUCUUGAAUGAAACCUUGGGAGGCUUGAAUGGAUAAUCAGGAGGGAAGUGUAUGGAUACCAAGAAAAUACCACCAGCAUAAGGGCUGUCUGCUGGACCCAUAAUAGUUGCUUGCCAAUGAAAUAUGUCAUCUCCAGCAGGACCUGCACUGCAGGAGACUGGAGGGUCCUUCUGCAAGUCCUUCAAUUCCUUGUUAAUUCGUUUUGAAGCCAUCCCAAAUCCUCUAAAAGUUCAGAAAAAAUAAACUUCUGAAAAGAGAUUCAUUACACAAAAUUAAUAUGAUAGUAUAAUUCAAACCCUUUCUAAUCACUCUUAAUACCCAAUCCCCAUGAUGAAUUGAUUGGAAAAAGUUUAUUCAAAUUUGGGAAUAAGGUUUCUAAUUAAUCAAUCAUAAUUAAACUGUGAAAUGACAUUGAAAACAUUGAACACAAUUUUCUUUUUUGAAAAUCUUCAUGUCUUCUCUAUAAAAACAAAAAUAAUCUCAAGAAUUACACUAUAUUACAUUUCCAAAACAUGCAUACAUAUCAGCUAGAACAAACCCUAAUUCAGUCACCAUGAUCAAAGAUACCUAUCUCAUAAACCCAAAAAAAGGGUUUAACAAAAAGGGGAGAAAUUAAAAAUACAAAAAUCCCUUCAAGAUCGAUGAUCAACCAAAUAAUUGAUUACAUAUAUACCCAAAAACCUCUGACCCAAACCAAAUACAGAGACCUAAUCAGCCACCAGUAGAUCAAUCACAGCAUAUCCAAUAACCCUCAAAAUC
rnacentral:misc_RNA from 1 species